GAAAUUUGUGGCACAUAUAGGAUGAGAACCUAUAGGUUCGAUUCGAGCCGUUUUUUGGCGAGAAAACAUCGGAGCUUGCGACGAUGGCCCAAAGGGCGCAGUAAUCCUAUACGACCCACCA
rnacentral:sRNA from 1 species